UGCUGCUGGGGUUGAACGUUCUCUAAAUGUCAGUGAGGUCGCGUGGGCUCAGGGUCGUGUUCGCUGGCUGUCUUCUUGCUGAUUGUCCAUGCGGAGAGCGGGUGCUCGGCUCUCUGACCGUGACAGUGGACUCACGUGCUUCUCCUUUCAGUUCUGUCAGCUCCUGCGUCGUGGGUCCAGUGCUCUGCUGUUAGGAGCUCACGCACCUGGGGUUCUCCUCACUUCCUGCGGAGUUGGCCUUCCAUUGUUCUGCACCAUUCUUCCCCUGUAAACAAUCCUUGCUCUGACGUCUACUCUGUCUGACGUUUACCUACCCAUGGAGGUGUCUUUGGAUUCGUGUUCAUGUGUUGUCAUCAUUCAUUUCAUGUGUCAAAGUGGUUGGUCCCCAGUGCCAAGACUUGUGGUCAAGUAUGAUUCUGGACUUUUCUAGGAGGCGAUUUGGGAUGAGAUACACUUAAAUGGAUGAACUUUGAGUAGAGCAGACUGCCCUCCACAUUGUGAAUGAGCCUCGCCCCAUCAGUUGAAACCUGAGUGAGAGCAAAGACUGACCUCCCGUGAGCAAGGAAGAAUUCGACAGCACACGGCCAUCGGACUGGAACUGGGGUGUUGUCUCGUCCUUGUGUCUCCUCCUGACGACCUUGGACUUGAACCCCAGCAGCAGAUCUUCCCUGCAUCUCAGCCUGGCUCACCCUCCCUGUAGACCUGACUCACCAGCCUCUAUAAUAGUGUGAGCCAUUCCUUACAGCGCAUCUCUCUGGAUCUAUAAGCGUCCUUACUGCUGGUUCCUGCAGAAUCCUGACUACUACCCACAGCACGUCUCUUCCUAUCUCCUUCCUGCUAACCCAGCUCCCUCAGCACAGAUUGGGAUAGAGUUCCAGAGUGACCUGAGCCCUUAGGUCCUGUGUCCAGUCUCCUGUCUGAGCAGCGCCCAUCUGAGUGCUCCCUGACCUUCCUCUGCCUGCUCCUGUUCCUACCCCAUCCCAGCACACACACUGAAUGGCCCCACAGAAACCACAUCACCUGCUCUCCGCACUGGGCUUCAGUUUCCCCAUCGGCUGAUUUUCCUGAAAUCAUCUCUCUCACCCUCACUUCUUCCUACCCCUUCUCCCACGGUCAGUGACUGUCCCAGUGAGUGUCACAUUUUCCUUCUUGUCAUAGGGUCCACACAGCCUGAGGAGAUUCCCAGGGCAUCUUCUGUCCCAGGGGGACCUCAGCAGGUGCAUGGACACCACACCCAGACCUGGAUGCAGAGGGAGGACAGGCGUGGGGAGGAGCCGAGCUGUGAUGCCUGGACAGGCCUGUCCUUCCAGAUCCUCUGAGCUUCUCGGGACAGAAUAAGGUGGAGCAGAGAGGGACCCAGGUGUCUCUGGCUCGUCUACUCCCUCGGCCAUCUCACUCCCCUCCAAACCUCCACAAUCGUGGGCAUUAUUGGAAAAGACCAGAUCCUGGGUCCUAGUCGACUCUCCUCCAGCGGAGACUCUCCAAGACUGUAGAGUUCCUGCUUUCCUGAUUUCUUUUGCUAAAGGGAGCAGAUAGAGUCUGUAUGAGGAACGGUCUCUCCUUUCCCUCUCCCCAUUCUCAACUGCUCCCUGUGCUGCUCACAAAUGCAGCUCGCGCUCAUGGGGGUCCUUAAUUUCCAUGUAAUUUCUCCCUCACGAGCCUGCAGGCAGCCUGAGGGCAGAAUCGUCCCCUUGUUCUCUGUCCUAUCACCUGUGACGUGGACAGAGCUGCUUCCUGGUACCUGUUCAAUACUUGUUGGUGGGAGAUGAGGAACAUGUGCCCCAAAAUCGUUUGUCCCUUGUCUGGGCUGCUAGGGGAGCCGACCCAAGCCUCCAUGUCAGAGCACAUGAAGUUGAAUGUCAUUGUCCCUGCACACGACCUACUCUGAGGUGCCUACGUGGUUCUGCCAAGACAAGCUCCAGGGUCUCCUAUGAUCGGACCUGCUCAGUGUGCCUCCAGCCACGGACCUCAGCUGUGCUGCGAUCAUAGCUGCUGGGAUCAUGUCUCAGUCCGUUUGGCGUCACGCUGGGAACUCCAUCACCUAGAUGUGACCAUGUGUGAAGGGAGUCGCAAGGACACUAGAUGUCCCAACACAGAGAAACGGCAGAUAUGGAUUAUGGAUCCCGUGAAAAUCAAGGGUACUGACAUCAUUGUGAAGUUUCUAUGGGUUCAGUCGUUUGGGGGAACAUGAAAAUAUCCUUUCAAACUAUUUAAGUUUAUGGUUUCCUAAAGUUCUAGUUCUAGUUAUUUAUUCUUCUGUAUCAUUGUCUGCUUUCCACAUUUUAUAUACUCAAUGUGGACUAUUCUCCUCAGACAUAAACCCUUAUUUUUUGAA